CAGUUCUUAGAUCACGCGAGCAAAAAGUUGUCCUUGCACUUUUACAGGAGUAAACUAAGGUGGGGCAAAAGAAAAGCACUGCUAUAAUAUGAUCAGACUUUGUACUUGAUAUGUUUGCUAUCAGAUUUUGAUAUGUAGAAUAUUCUCAAGGAGUGACCUUUUGUCAGUUGAUGUCCAGGUGGUUGGUCACUUUUGGUUAGCACCGUCUGCUCUGGCUGGCUGGU
rnacentral:lncRNA from 1 species